UACGAAGGGGGCUAGCGUUGCUCGGAAUCACUGGGCGUAAAGCGCACGUAGGCGGCUUCUUAAGUCAGGGGUGAAAUCCUGGAGCUCAACUCCAGAACUGCCUUUGAUACUGAGGAGCUUGGAGUCCGGGAGAGGUGAGUGGAACUGCGAGUGUAGAGGUGAAAUUCGUAGAUAUUCGCAAGAACACCAGUGGCGAAGGCGGCUCACUGGCCCGGUACUGACGCUGAGGUGCGAAAGCGUGGGGAGCAAACAGGGAUUAAGA
rnacentral:rRNA from 1 species